GACAGAGGUGCCAAGCGUUAGGCGGAAUCACUGGGCUUAAAGCGUGUGUAGGCGGAAUUGUAAGUACCUUGUGAAAUCCCACAGCUCAACUGUGGAACUGCUGGGUAUACUGCUUUUCUUGAGCCACUUAGGGGCUGUCGGAACAAAUGGUGGAGCGGUGAAAUGCGUUGAUAUCCAUUGGAACUCCGGUGGCGAAAGCGGCGUGCUGGACCUCUACUGACGCUGAGGCGCGAAAGCCAGGGGAGCAAACGGG
rnacentral:rRNA from 1 species